rnacentral:rRNA from 1 species
GACGAACGCUGGCGGCGUGCUUAACACAUGCAAGUCGAACGGAAAGGCCCUGCUUUUGUGGGGUGCUCGAGAGGCGAACGGGUGAGUAAAACGUGAGUAACAUGCACUUGACUUUGGGAUAACUUCAGGAAACUGGGGCUAAUACCGGAUAGGAGCUCCUGCUGCAUGGUGGGGGUUGGAAAGUUUCGGCGGUUGGGGAUGGACUCGCGGCUUAUCAGCUUGUUGGUGGGGUAGUGGCUUACCAAGGCUUUGAAGGGUAGCCGGCCUGAGAGGGUGACCGGCCACAUUGGGACUGCGCUACGGCCCAGACUCCUACGGGCGGCAGCAGUGGGGAAUAUUGCACAAUGGGCGGAAGCCUGAUGCAGCAACGCCGCGUGCGGGAUGACGGCCUUCGGGUUGUAAACCGCUUUCGCCUGUGACGAAGCGUGAGUGACGGUAAUGAGUAAAGAAGCACCGGCUAACUACGUG